UUGUUUAUGACGUGUAUUUAGGAUGUAAAAAGAUGUUUUAAUAUGAAAUAUUUUACGGGGGACAUUUAUAUAGUUUUUGUUAUACAUUAUUAUUGUUUAGACUACUGAAAUAUUUGUUUUAUUAAAGAUUCAACAUUCUUUGAUUUUCUGACUCUAUUUAUAUGAACAUAUUUUUUUUUUAUAAAACAAACGCACCUUUAUAAUUUGUUUAAAGCAUUUCUAUCAUCCUAUAAAAUUACUUAUAGAUGACGUAACCAAAUUAAAACUUGCUGAGUUUAUGCAAACGUGGCAUAUUUAUUAUAGCGUUACUAAAUACAUAAAAUUCUAAUCAAUAAAUUAUUAACGUGCUUUCUGACCAAACUCAAUGUUUUUUGAUUAUUUGAGUUAUAUUGGAAAACAGUAUUUUUGUUAAACCGACUUUUCAAAUAUUUUGUUCAAAACUUACAUAUACUUGGACAAACAGUUUACAAAUUGAUUUCAGCUUUUUAAACAUUAUUUUAAAAUAUGUUUUAUCUUAAAUUACUAUUUUCAAACAUUGUUAAAAUUUAUUAAGCGUCUUGUGGAGUUUUGUUUGUCGGUAAGGUAUUUUCUCGAAAAUGGUUGCAAAUAUAAGAAACACAGCACCUUAACACACAAAGUUUUUGGCAACUUUGGCAGCCUGUUUUAGAGCUUGUUGACGAUUAAUGAUUUUUCGGUAAUUGAAGUAACUUCAAAUCUUUCGUACGUAGUGAAAAGCUCUAUAACAGCUUGAGGAAACUUAACCUUAGGUUUUAUUUCAUUGGAUUGGUUCAACGAAAAUGAAAUUUAAAAAGUUUAUCAAAACAUAUAAUAAAUAAAAGCGGAUAUAAAAACUAUGUGAAUAAAAGCAAACUUUUCAAAAAAAGAUCAAUCGUGUGAAAAAAAGAGAGGUCCGUUAAGAUGAGGAUUUUAAUCAAAUAAUCAAUCAACUAUUUGACUAGUUGUUUAAAGUAAAUGGGUUUUAGCGACAUGCAACAGUACAUUUUCCUCGUAAAAUAAUUAAAUGAACAAUUUUGGACUAACAAGAGUAGGCCGUUCCAUAGUUUGAAAAAGGAAUGGGCUGAUCAAUGUUGGUAUAAAAAAUGCUGAUAUUAGCAUUAUUGUGAUAUGUAAGCGCAAAUUUUAAAAGAUCAAAGUGUGUUCAAAAAUAA